AUUGAACGCUGGCGGCAUGCUUUACACAUGCAAGUCGAACGGUAACAGGCCUUCGGGCGCUGACGAGUGGCGAACGGGUGAGUAAUGCAUCGGAACGUGCCCAGUCGUGGGGGAUAACUAUCCGAAAGGAUAGCUAAUACCGCAUACGAUCUGCGGAUGAAAGCGGGGGACCUUCGGGCCUCGCGCGAUUGGAGCGGCCGAUGUCAGAUUAGGUAGUUGGUGGGGUAAAGGCUCACCAAGCCAACGAUCUGUAGCUGGUCUGAGAGGACGACCAGCCACACUGGGACUGAGACACGGCCCAGACUCCUACGGGAGGCAGCAGUGGGGAAUUUUGGACAAUGGGCGCAAGCCUGAUCCAGCAAUGCCGCGUGCGGGAAGAAGGCCUUCGGGUUGUAAACCGCUUUUGUCGGGGAAGAAACGGUGGAGGUUAAUACCUUCUGCUAAUGACGGUACCCGAAGAAUAAGCACCGGCUAACUACGUGCCAGCAGCCGCAGUAAUAC
rnacentral:rRNA from 1 species